rnacentral:rRNA from 1 species
UACGUAGGGGGCGAGCGUUAUCCGGAAUUACUGGGCGUAAAGAGUGCGUAGGCGGCUCUUUAAGCGCGGGGUUUAAGGCUGCGGCUUAACCGCAGUUCGCCCCGCGAACUGGAGGGCUUGAGUACAGGAGGGGAAGGCGGAAUUCCUAGUGUAGCGGUGAAAUGCGUAGAUAUUAGGAGGAACACCAGUGGCGAAGGCGGCCUUCUGGACUGAAACUGACGCUGAGGCACGAAAGCGUGGGUAGCAAACA